AGUUUGAUCCUGGCUCAGGACGAACGCUGGCGGCGUGCUUAACACAUGCAAGUCGAACGGAAAGGCCCUUCGGGGUACUCGAGUGGCGAACGGGUGAGUAACACGUGGGUGAUCUGCCCUGCACUUUGGGAUAAGCCUGGGAAACUGGGUCUAAUACCGGAUAGGACUACGGCCUUCAUGGGUUGUGGUGGAAAGCUUUUGCGGUGUGGGAUGGGCCCGCGGCCUAUCAGCUUGUUGGUGGGGUAAUGGCCUACCAAGGCGACGACGGGUAGCCGGCCUGAGAGGGUGACCGGCCACACUGGGACUGAGAUACGGCCCAGACUCCUACGGGAGGCAGCAGUGGGGAAUAUUGCACAAUGGGCGCAAGCCUGAUGCAGCGACGCCGCGUGAGGGAUGACGGCCUUCGGGUUGUAAACCUCUUUCAGCAGGGACGAAGCGCAAGUGACGGUACCUGUAGAAGAAGGACCGGCCAACUACGUGCCAGCAGCCGCGGUAAUACGUAGGGUCCGAGCGUUGUCCGGAAUUACUGGGCGUAAAGAGCUCGUAGGUGGUUUGUCGCGUUGUUCGUGAAAACUCACAGCUCAACUGUGGGCGUGCGGGCGAUACGGGCAGACUUGAGUACUGCAGGGGAGACUGGAAUUCCUGGUGUAGCGGUGGAAUGCGCAGAUAUCAGGAGGAACACCGGUGGCGAAGGCGGGUCUCUGGGCAGUAACUGACGCUGAGGAGCGAAAGCGUGGGGAGCGAACAGGAUUAGAUACCCUGGUAGUCCACGCCGUAAACGGUGGGUACUAGGUAUGGGUUUCCUUCCUUGGGAUCCGUGCCGUAGCUAACGCAUUAAGUACCCCGCCUGGGGAGUACGGCCGCAAGGCUAAAACUCAAAGGAAUUGACGGAAGGUCC
rnacentral:rRNA from 1 species